rnacentral:ncRNA from 2 species
GGACGAACCUCUGGAGAGACUCGUUGUGAGCACCGAAGGGGAAAGCUGGCAUUGUGUCCAGUGAAACUCUCAGGUAAAAAGGACAGGGGAUAACUA